UAGGGAGUCUUCGGCAAUGGACGAAAGUCUGACCGAGCAACGCCGCGUGAGUGAAGAAGGUUUUCGGAUCGUAAAACUCUGUUGUUAGAGAAGAACAAGGACGUUAGUAACUGAACGUCCCCUGACGGUAUCUAACCAGAAAGCCACGGCUAACUACGUGCCAGCAGCCGCGGUAAUACGUAGGUGGCAAGCGUUGUCCGGAUUUAUUGGGCGUAAAGCGAGCGCAGGCGGUUUCUUAAGUCUGAUGUGAAAGCCCCCGGCUCAACCGGGGAGGGUCAUUGGAAACUGGGAGACUUGAGUGCAGAAGAGGAGAGUGGAAUUCCAUGUGUAGCGGUGAAAUGCGUAGAUAUAUGGAGGAACACCAGUGGCGAAGGCGGCUCUCUGGUCUGUAACUGACGCUGAAGCUCGAAAGCGUGGGGAGCAAACAGG
rnacentral:rRNA from 1 species